rnacentral:rRNA from 1 species
AGAGUUGAUCCUGGCUUAGGACGAACGCUGGCGGCGUGCCUAACACAUGCAAGUCGAACGAGAAUCAUUGAAGAAACCUUCGGGUGGAUUGAGUGAGGAAAGUGGCGGACGGGCGAGUAACGCGUGAGUAACCUACCUUGUACUGGGGGAUAACGUCGAGAAAUCGGCGCUAAUACCGCAUAACACUACGAAAUCGCAUGGUAUUGUAGUCAAAACUCCGGUGGUACGAGAUGGGCUCGCGUCCAAUUAGCUUGUUGGUGAGGUAACAGCUCACCAAGGCGACGAUCGGUAGCCGAACUGAGAGGUUGAUCGGCCGCAUUGGGACUGAGACACGGCCCAGACUCCUACGGGAGGCAGCAGUGGGGAAUAUUGCCGCAAUGGGGGAAACCCUGACGCAGCAACGCCGCGUGAAGGAAGAAGGCUUUCGGGUUGUAAACUUCUUUGAUCGGGGACGAAAAUGACGGUACCCGAAGAACAAGCCACGGCUAACUACGUGCCAGCCGCCGC